rnacentral:rRNA from 1 species
AUGUGGUCCUUGCUGAGGAGAAUUAGGCCAAAUGCAAGUGAACCGUGGCUGAUGAUUGGCGACUUCAAUGAGAUGAUGUGGCAAUCUGAGCAUUUCUCCACUUCUAAAAGAUCGGAAGGCCAAAUGGCUAGGUUCCUAAGUGUUCUCAAUUUCUGUAAUUUACAUGAUCUAGGUUUCAGAGGCAGACCAUGGACUUAUGACAACAAAAAGCAAGGAGCUAGAAAUGUGAAGGCAAGGAUUGACAGGGCUAUUGCAUCUCCAUGUUGGCACGAUAUCUUCACACAAGCUACUGUUACUCAUAUUACCACCCAACGAUCUGAUCACUUUCCACUUUUGUUGAAUUAUAUGGGUCAAGAUAAUUCUGACAGGGGGGCAAGGCUUUUCAGGUAUGAGUACAUGUGGGAGAGGGACCCCUCCCUGGCUGUUGAAAUUAAAAAUGCUUGGAAUAAUAGUGAUGCUCUAGGUUUGGGUCUCGAGGGCGUGUCAAAGAAACUGAAAAAGGUGCAGCAGGAGUUAUAUGGUUGGAGUAGGAGAACGUUCAGAUCUGUCCGGUUCAAAGUCCAGAAGCUAAGGAAAUAG